rnacentral:lncRNA from 1 species
AAAUAAGUUUAAAUCAAAUUGAAACUCAAAUUGAAUGUAUAUCAAAUUGAAAAUUUGGAGCAAAUAGUGAGCUUACGGAUAUAAACAUGUUAAAAAAACCUUAAUGCAUUGAAUCAAUUCUAAAAUCAUAAAUCCAUCUCAUUUAAAAAAAAACUUCUCUUCUUUUAAUUACAUGAAAAAGUGUUAUUUCACUCAAGAUCAUGAGG